UCUUAACCACUGAGCCAUCUCUCUAGCCCUAUUUAUUUAAUUUUUAUGUGUAUGAAUAUUUUGCCUGAAUGUAUGUAUGUGUACCAUAUGAAUGCCUGGUGCCUGCAGAGGCCAGGUGUCAAAUUCCCUGGGACUGGUGUUACAGAUGGUUGUGAGCCACUAGGUGGGUGAUGGGAACCAAAACUGAAUCUUCUUUUAAAAGAACAAUACGUAACUGCUCAGUCACCUCUCUAGCAGGGUCUGUUCAGUGGAAUCCUGAACCCCAACCUAUUGGAAUCCCUAGUGAGCCACGGGAAAUCCAGAUUCUGUCCCAGAAGAGCACUGCCUGAUGGGAGGAGACAGACAUAACUCUUGUCUUGGGAGAAAACACCCUAUGGUCUGAUGGUGGAGCCUCUUUCCAGCUGUAGUGAAGACAGUACACGGGGCAGGGAGUACCUUGCAGCUCCUGGAGUUGGGAAAAGGAUGCUUACCUGGGCCUUCAAUGCUCUGUGGCCACCAAUUUGCCAAAGCUACACAGCCUCUCCAGUCCUCAGUUCCACUACUGUGGAGUGGGAUUUGCCAAUGACUUCUAAGGUUCUACUAGGUUUUGAUAUUGUGAAGCACCACAGAGCAACAAUAGAAGGCAUGUUGUGCUGUGACCCAGGAGAAGAUGCCACAGAGUUCCCAACAGCUUAGCUUUAUGUGCAAUUGCUUGUGGGUAUCUUGGCACCAGGAAAGACUUACAAGUCCUACACUCCUCACCUGUUCAUCCCUUACCUACUUUGCACAUCUACUGAACACUGGCCGCAUGCCCAUUGCUGGGCCCAACAACGCAACCUCCACGUUUUGAGUGUCUGAAGUCCUCUAUAAGAGCUUUGAUUGAGGGGGCUAGACAAGAAGAGUUGAGCUACUUGCCCGAACAGAAUAACCUCUCUUGAGCGAACCUUUUCGUUUUGAGACAGGCUCUGACAUAGUGUAGGCUCCUCCCGUUCUCCUGAUCUCGUAAGAGAGAAUGAACUUAAACUUCUGAUCCUCCUGCCUCCAACUCACACCAGCUGGACUUAGAGACCUGUACCAUCAGGCACUAGGGUUUACUUGGUGCUGGGUGGGGACUGAUUCCAGGGCUUCGAGUGAACUGAGCCCCAGCCCAAGACAGACUCUAAGCAACUCUCCUACGUCACACAAACUCAGAAGUGGUAAAACCUCUCAUCUGCUGGACCUGUGCUGGCUCCCCCUUGACCUUUGCAGCGCUCCUGCAAUGAGACAAGUUUUCUCCUCAUGGGCCCCAUCUGGAAAGUCUGCACAGGACUUUAGCCAGCCGGGGGAUGUGGCUACAAUGCGGCUCCUACUUUUCCAACUCAGAGGAAACCCCUUAUGCAUCAGCUGCUCAAGCAAGUCUAGUCUGAGGUAUAAUGUAAACAAAUCCCUCUGGUACCUCACAAGCGUUAUAACAGCUGGUUUACUGUGAAUCCCUCAACAGCUAGACCAAGUCAGAAUUCACAUCCUGGCCAGAAAAAUGUUUUUUGUUUUGUUUUGUUUUUUUCUUGCUUAGGAGGGACACUGCCAUCCUGUUUAUACCCUGGACCCUCUGCCUGCUGGCCAGGUUUCCAUGUUUUUUGUCUUUUGUUUUCUGACUGGUAUAACAGGACCCCCCAGAACUUAGUCAGGCCCAGACCUUAACAGAACCGACUCCAUGAUGGAAGUACCAUUCAGGCCACAAAAUGUGGCUCAUAUACAGCACCACCUGCCCAAACAAGAACAAAGACCUGAUUCAUUAAAGCCCAUAGUUCUGGGAAAGUCUCUAACUGCUUUUCUGGCUUCUGUAAUUCUGAUUCUGGCUAACUGUUCUUGCUAACUGAUAUGUGUCAACCUGGGAAAUAGUUCUGUGCUGAAAAGCUCACCCUGAGAAAGGCCCAAGGCUACACUGGGAUCCCAAACACCCAGUGUAAUUGCUGCCUAACUAACAAAGACUUUCUAUUAGCUUAACAGCUAUGGAAGCAGGUGGAUUCCCCUCACAGUGGGUGAAUGGGUGACAGCUCACCAUUAUGGGCCAGGAAUGGGAUGGAGCUAGUAUGCCCUUCCCUCUCCAGCAUCAGUGUUUUCCAGAAUACAGGCCUUCAGGGUUCUAGAAUUUACUCAGGCCUGCCAAAAUCACACCCCAAAAUUUGCAUUUAUCUGCCCAUUGGUAUUUAUAGACAGGGACAUCAAAACCCAAAGAAGGGCUGGUCCAUUGCUGCUAUUGCGUUGC
rnacentral:lncRNA from 1 species